UCCUGAGGUGUCGAGCGGCGGACGGGUGAGUAAUGCCUAGGUAUCUGCCCAAUCGUGGGGGAUAACAGUUGGAAACGACUGCUAAUACCGCAUACGCCCUACGGGGGAAAGGAGGGGACCUUCGGGCCUUCCGCGAUUGGAUGAACCUAGGUGGGAUUAGCUAGUUGGUAAGGUAAUGGCUUACCAAGGCGACGAUCCCUAGCUGGUCUGAGAGGAUGAUCAGCCACACUGGAACUGAGACACGGUCCAGACUCCUACGGGAGGCAGCAGUGGGGAAUAUUGCACAAUGGGCGAAAGCCUGAUGCAGCCAUGCCGCGUGUAUGAAGAAGGCCUUCGGGUUGUAAAGUACUUUCAGCGAGGAGGAAAGCUCAGUUGUUAAUAGCGACUGGGUGUGACGUUACUCGCAGAAGAAGCACCGGCUAACUUCGUGCCAGCAGCCGCGGUAAUACGAGGGGUGCAAGCGUUAAUCGGAAUUACUGGGCGUAAAGCGUACGCAGGCGGUUUGUUAAGCGAGAUGUGAAAGCCCUGGGCUCAACCUAGGAACUGCAUUUCGAACUGGCAAACUAGAGUCUUGUAGAGG
rnacentral:rRNA from 1 species